ACUCACAGAGUUCAUUUAUAAUGAGACAGAUGAUAAUGAUGAUGAUGAUGAUUCUAGCAAUGCAAUUUCAAAAAUAAAAGAUGAAGUUGAUGCUUUGACUGGCCGUAUAAACCAGCUCAACAUACAGAGAAGGCAGCUACUGAACCAUUAUCUGGACUUGAAAGGGAACAUUCGUGUAUUUUGUCGCAUAAGCCCGAUCACAAUGGGGCAUAAUUUUGGUCGAUUGAGACCUGUAGUGGCUGCGGAUUCAAGUAACGUUCUUUUAAAUCUUGCUGAUAAUAAGAGUAAGAACUACAGUUUUGACAGAGUUUUCCACCCAGAUUCAUCACAAGAUGAAGUUUUUUCCGAAGUUGAACCAGUCAUCAAAUCUGUUCUUGAUGGUUACAAUGCUUGCAUUUUCGCCUAUGGUCAGACUGGCACAGGAAAAACUUUCACAAUGGAAGGCAGAUCAGACGCUCCUGGAGUAGUUCCUCGCACAUUCCAGGAACUAUUUAAGCAAGCAGUAGAAAGUAACCAUUCAUUUCUCAUCAGAUUCAGUAUGCUUGAGAUUUACAUGGGAAAUCUCAAGGACUUGCUAGUCCCCAAGCCAACUAGAGCUACAGAUCCCAUCUCUCCUUGCCUUGCUAUUAAAACAGAUCCUGAGGGAGGAAUUGAAAUCAACAACCUUUUGUCAAUUCAAGUGAAUGACUUCCACCAGGCUUUGAAGCUGUACAGAUUAGGAUGCCAUUUCAGAUCAACAACCUCUACAACCUCCAACAUAACUUCAAGCCGAUCUCAUU
rnacentral:misc_RNA from 1 species